UUUUUUUUUUUUUUUAAUAAAUGUAUUCAAUUGGUUUAUUGAUCAUUUCGAAUGUCCCAUGUCGCAUCGAAUCAAACAAAAGCUUUCGCUGCUGCCUUGUCUUUCGGCUCGGAACAAUCUGUGCAUGGUCUGGACACUUCCAAGUAUAAGCAAAGCAGUGCCGACGACGAAUGCGGAACGAUGCACGAAACGGUGUUGCCGUCUGCGAACAGGAGCAAUGGCAUCCGGAAGAUCGGUAAGGCGCGGUAUAAAACCUACAGGACGAAAUCUAACUAGUGAAGAGCAAAAUAUAAGAAUGUUGUACAUCAGGCAUAGUAUAUUUAUACUAUCGUUACAAUAUUAAAUCAAUAUUCGACAUGCUUAUUAGAGGAUAGGGAUAGGCAUAAUUAUGUUCUACUAGAAGUUAAGUAAAUAUGAAUAUGAAUUCAAUAAAAUUUGACUUAAAAUUAACAA